rnacentral:lncRNA from 1 species
AAUUUGUGUUUCAUUGAAAAGAAUUUAAGGAGAUAUUUUAAAAUGACAAAUGUGCAUCCUGUCCCUAACAUGUCUCCUCUUUGUCCUUUUAAAAAAUCUGAGUUAACAAUAGAACCGUUGCCUUUUGUGUGGCUGGGCCAGCAUGAGGCAAGACCAGGUGGCUGCUCUUGUGUGCGGACUGGAGAGAUGAGGAAAAGACACUUUGCAGACCCUGACUGCAUCCCCUGUUUUUUUUUUGAGACGGCAUCUCCCUCUGUUGCCCAGGCUGGAGUCCAGUGGCACAAUCUCGGCUCACUGCAACCUCCACUUCCCAGGUUCAAGCAAUUCUCCUGGCUCAGCCUCCCAAGUAGCUGGGAUUACAGGCACCCGCCACCACACCCAGCUAAUUUUUAUAUUUUUAGUAGAGACGGGGUUUCACCAUGUUGGCCAGGCUGGUCUUGAACUCCUGACCUCAAGUGAUUGGCCCAUCUUGGCCUCCCAAAGUGUUGGGAUUACAGGCAUGAGCCACCACACCAAGCCCUCCAGCUGGUUCUUUUAUAUAAAAGUAUAUCCAGAAUCUGACCACUUCUUACCACCCUACUGCUGCCACCACAGUCCAAAGCAACAGCACCUCU